rnacentral:rRNA from 1 species
UACGUAGGGGGGCUAGCGUUGUCCGGAUUUAUUGGGCGUAAAGAGCGUGUAGGCGGCCAGGUAGGUCUGCUGUGAAAAACUCGAGGCUCAACCUCGAGACGUCGGCGGAAACCAUCUGGCUAGAGUCCGGAAGAGGAGAGUGGAAUUCCUGGUGUAGCGGUGAAAUGCGCAGAUAUCAGGAGGAACACCGGUGGCGAAGGCGGGUCUCUGGGCCGAUACUGACGCUGGAGGAGCGAAAGCGUGGGGAGCGAACAGG